rnacentral:rRNA from 1 species
GCCGCGUGAGUGAUGAAGGCUUUCGGGUCGUAAAACUCUGUUGUUAGGGAAGAACAAGUACGAGAGUAACUGCUCGUACCUUGACGGUACCUAACCAGAAAGCCACGGCUAACUACGUGCCAGCAGCCGCGGUAAUACGUAGGUGGCAAGCGUUAUCCGGAAUUAUUGGGCGUAAAGCGCGCGCAGGCGGUUUCUUAAGUCUGAUGUGAAAGCCCACGGCUCAACCGUGGAGGGUCAUUGGAAACUGGGGAACUUGAGUGCAGAAGAGAAAAGCGGAAUUCCACGUGUAGCGGUGAAAUGCGUAGAGAUGUGGAGGAACACCAGUGGCGAAGGCGGCUUUUUGGUCUGUAACUGACGCUGAGGCGCGAAAGCGUGGGGAGCAAACAGGAUUAGAUACCCUGGUAGUCCACGCCGUAAACGAUGAGUGCUAAGUGUUAGAGGGUUUCCGCCCUUUAGUGCUGCAGCUAACGCAUUAAGCACUCCGCCUGGGGAGUACGGUCGCGGACUG